AACGAACGCUGGCGGCAGGCCUAACACAUGCAAGUCGAGCGAGGACUUCGGUCCUAGCGGCGGACGGGUGAGUAACGCGUGGGAACGUGCCCUUUGCUACGGAAUAGCCCCGGGAAACUGGGAGUAAUACCGUAUGUGCCCUUCGGGGGAAAGAUUUAUCGGCAAAGGAUCGGCCCGCGUUGGAUUAGGUAGUUGGUGGGGUAAUGGCCUACCAAGCCGACGAUCCAUAGCUGGUUUGAGAGGAUGAUCAGCCACACUGGGACUGAGACACGGCCCAGACUCCUACGGGAGGCAGCAGUGGGGAAUCUUAGACAAUGGGGGAAACCCUGAUCUAGCCAUGCCGCGUGAGCGAUGAAGGCCUUAGGGUUGUAAAGCUCUUUCAGUGGGGAGGAUAAUGACGGUACCCGCAGAAGAAGCACCGGCUAACUCCGUGCCAGCCGCCGCAGUAA
rnacentral:rRNA from 1 species